AGAGUUUGAUCCUGGCUCAGAUUGAACGCUGGCGGCAUGCCUUACACAUGCAAGUCGAACGGCAGCACGAGAGCUUGCUCUUGGUGGCGAGUGGCGAACGGGUGAGUAAUAUAUCGGAACGUACCCUAGAGUGGGGGAUAACGUAGCGAAAGUUACGCUAAUACCGCAUACGAUCUACGGAUGAAAGUGGGGGAUCGCAAGACCUCAUGCUCAUGGAGCGGCCGAUAUCUGAUUAGCUAGUUGGUGGGGUAAAAGCUCACCAAGGCGACGAUCAGUAGCUGGUCUGAGAGGACGACCAGCCACACUGGAACUGAGACACGGUCCAGACUCCUACGGGAGGCAGCAGUGGGGAAUUUUGGACAAUGGGCGCAAGCCUGAUCCAGCAAUGCCGCGUGAGUGAAGAAGGCCUUCGGGUUGUAAAGCUCUUUUGUCAGGGAAGAAACGGUGGACUCUAAUACAGAUCACUAAUGACGGUACCUGAAGAAUAAGCACCGGCUAACUACGUGCCAGCAGCCGCGGUAAUACGUAGGGUGCAAGCGUUAAUCGGAAUUACUGGGCGUAAAGCGUGCGCAGGCGGUUGUGCAAGACAGAUGUGAAAUCCCCGGGCUCAACCUGGGAAUUGCAUUUGUGACUGCACGGCUAGAGUGUGUCAGAGGGGGGUAGAAUUCCACGUGUAGCAGUGAAAUGCGUAGAGAUGUGGAGGAAUACCGAUGGCGAAGGCAGCCCCCUGGGAUAACACUGACGCUCAUGCACGAAAGCGUGGGGAGCAAACAGGAUUAGAUACCCUGGUAGUCCACGCCCUAAACGAUGUCUACUAGUUGUCGGGUCUUAAUUGACUUGGUAACGCAGCUAACGCGUGAAGUAGACCGCCUGGGGAGUACGGUCGCAAGAUUAAAACUCAAAGGAAUUGACGGGGACCCGCACAAGCGGUGGAUGAUGUGGAUUAAUUCGAUGCAACGCGAAAAACCUUACCUACCCUUGACAUGUCUGGAAUCCUUGAGAGAUCAGGGAGUGCUCGAAAGAGAAUCAGAACACAGGUGCUGCAUGGCUGUCGUCAGCUCGUGUCGUGAGAUGUUGGGUUAAGUCCCGCAACGAGCGCAACCCUUGUCAUUAGUUGCUACGAAAGGGCACUCUAAUGAGACUGCCGGUGACAAACCGGAGGAAGGUGGGGAUGACGUCAAGUCCUCAUGGCCCUUAUGGGUAGGGCUUCACACGUCAUACAAUGGUACAUACAGAGGGCCGCCAACCCGCGAGGGGGAGCUAAUCCCAGAAAGUGUAUCGUAGUCCGGAUUGUAGUCUGCAACUCGACUACAUGAAGUUGGAAUCGCUAGUAAUCGCGGAUCAGCAUGUCGCGGUGAAUACGUUCCCGGGUCUUGUACACACCGCCCGUCACACCAUGGGAGCGGGUUUCACCAGAAGUGGGUAGCCUAACCGCAAGGAGGGCGCUCACCACGGUGGGAUUCGUGACCGGGGUGAAGUCGUAACAAGGUA
rnacentral:rRNA from 1 species